rnacentral:rRNA from 1 species
GACGAACGCUGGCGGCGUGCCUAAUACAUGCAAGUAGAACGCAGUUUCGAACGGGUGAGUAACGCGUAGGUAACUGCCUCAUAGCGGGGGAUAACUAAUGGGAACGAUAGCUAAUACCGCAUACUGUGAGAUAGACCUGCUUUGUGUUUGGUAGUUGGUGAGGUAAAGGCUCCCCAAGGCGACGAUACAUAGCCGACCUUGGAGGGUGAACGGCCACACUGGGAAGGAGGAAAGUCCCAAGAGUCUUCGGGAGGGAACAGUAGGGAAUCUUUGGAAAUGGGCGGAAGUCUUGCCGAACAACGCCGGUGUGGUGAAGAAGGUUUUCGGGUCGUAAAGCUCCGUUGUGAGAGAAGCGGUAACUACCCAGAAAGGGACGGCUAACUACGUGCCAGCAGCCGCGGUAAUAC